UUAACUCAAAAUUGUAUGCAGUUGGAACAGCGCCCCUAGCGGCAAACGUAGGCAAGCGUUCCAACUCCGUACAAAUUUGAGUUA
rnacentral:pre_miRNA from 1 species